rnacentral:rRNA from 1 species
CCUACGGGUGGCAGCAGUGAGGAAUAUUGGUCAAUGAACGAGAGUCUGAACCAGCCAAGUAGCGUGAAGGAUGACUGCCCUCUGGGUUGUAAACUUCUUUUAUAGAGGAGUAAAACGAGGCACGUGUGCCUUUUUGCAUGUACUUUAUGAAUAAGGAUCGGCUAAAUCCGUGCCAGCAGCCGCGGUAAUACGGAGGAUCCGAGCGUUAUCCGGAUUUAUUGGGUUUAAAGGGAGCGUAGAGGGGUUGUUAAGUCAGUUGUGAAAGUUUGCGGCUCAACCGUAAAAUUGCAAUUGAUACUGGCAGUCUAGAGUACAGUUGAGGUAGGCGGAAUUCGAGGUGUAGCGGUGAAAUGCUUAGAUAUCACGAAGAACCCCGAUGGCGAAGGCAGCUUACUAAAUCGUGACUGACAUUGAUGGUCGAAAGUGUGGGGAUCAAACAGGAUUAGAUACCCGGGUAGUC